UACGUAGGGUGCAAGCGUUGUCCGGAAUUAUUGGGCGUAAAGAGCUCGUAGGCGGUCUGUUGCGUCGGCUGUGAAAACCCGGGGCUCAACCCCGGGCCUGCAGCCGAUACGGGCAGACUAGAGUUCGGCAGGGGAGACUGGAAUUCCUGGUGUAGCGGUGAAAUGCGCAGAUAUCAGGAGGAACACCGGUGGCGAAGGCGGGUCUCUGGGCCGAUACUGACGCUGGGGAGCGAAAGCGUGGGGAGCGAACAGG
rnacentral:rRNA from 1 species